AGAUAAGUUCUCAAAAGAGAAUACAAGAGUAUAUAAAGAGAAGGAGAGGGGAAGAUGAAGAGGCAAGUCUUGGAACAUACUCCAACCAAGGCUGCCUAGAACACAACAGAAAUUAAAAACA
rnacentral:sRNA from 1 species